UUCCUACGGGGCGCAGCAGUAGGGAAUCUUCCACAAUGGACGAAAGUCUGAUGGAGCAACGCCGCGUGAGUGAAGAAGGGUUUCGGCUCAUAAAGCUCUGUUGGUAGUGAAGAAAGAUAGAGGUAGUAACUGGCCUUUAUUUGACGGUAAUUACUUAGAAAGUCACGGCUAACUACGUGCCAGCAGCCGCGGUAAUACGUAGGUGGCAAGCGUUGUCCGGAUUUAUUGGGCGUAAAGCGAGUGCAGGCGGUUCAAUAAGUCCGAUGUGAAAGCCUUCGGCUCAACCGG
rnacentral:rRNA from 1 species